AUACGAAGGGUGCAAGCGUUACUCGGAAUUACUGGGCGUAAAGCGUGCGUAGGUGGUUGUUUAAGUCUGUCGUGAAAGCCCUGGGCUCAACCUGGGAAUGGCGAUGGAAACUGGGCGACUAGAGUGUGGCAGAGGGUAGUGGAAUUCCUGGUGUAGCAGUGAAAUGCGUAGAGAUCAGGAGGAACAUCCGUGGCGAAGGCGACUGCCUGGGCCAACACUGACACUGAGGCACGAAAGCGUGGGGAGCAAACAGGAUUAGAUACCCUGGUAGUCCACGCCCUAAACGAUGCGAACUGGAUGUUGGGUGCAGUUUGGCACGCAGUAUCGAAGCUAACGCGUUAAGUUCGCCGCCUGGAGAGUACGGUCGCAAGACUGAAACUCAAAGGAAUUGACGGGG
rnacentral:rRNA from 1 species